rnacentral:lncRNA from 1 species
UCGCUUAACCCGGUGAAGAAGAGCUUCCAAUCGAAUAUGCUUAACAAACCCAGCCGUCGGGCUACGAGUGGGGAUUUCUAGGGAGAUUCAAGCUGUGGCUCCGCUAGCUUUAGUCGGCAUAAGAACAAAGAACUAAAUGGGUCUCCUUAGCCUUUUGUUAGCUUCGGUGGCCUGGAGUCUUCUACGGGGCAUCUCUUCUUUAUAGAUGAGAAGUCGAUUCAGAACACGCAAGAAAAGGGUUGAUGGAACCAUGCAAAGAGUGCUCAUUAACUCACUAGCGUCCCAAUAAAAUCAUUCCAAAGUACUUCUCCAUUUCGGAACAAGCUCUUGGUGAAAAAGACUGGCGUGUAGUCCGAAAAGCGCCUAUGGAAGAUCUACUAUUUUCCUUCGCACUAAGUCAAUCUCCAUGCAUAUAUUCUGCCAGUUCUCAUUCAAUCUCUUUUCAUCCGGGAAGCUUCCCCGCAACUCCAACUACCGGAAACAUUAGCUCGAACAUUCGAGUUAGAGAUGAAAAGGACCGCCCUUCAGCUAGAACCCUCCCUUAAAGAAAUGAAAUUGAGUCAGUGACCCUAUGAGAGAGGAAGAGUUCCGUUGUGUCCAGUCAUCGUCUAUUCAACUCAAAGAACUUCUAGUUUGAUUAGCAUAAAGAAAGUGCCAGCUAGGCCAGCCAUUAGUACCAUAGCUUUCCCAAGAAGGAUAGGAGAUGGAUCAGACUCUUCAGCGGGAAAGAAUGCAAUCAAAGGACCCUAUGAAUACUACUAGCCGUAGCUGUGGUUGUGGCCAAGAAGCAGGCAGGGAAGGGGAUGUCCUUCUUUAAAGGAAUUUCGUCAGGGAUCUAUUCCUUGAAUCAAUAAAGCAAACUAAAAGUCUGGCAGUGCGAGAGGCCAAUAUGACUAUCUAUAUCAGUUCUUCGCCUUGGUCUACUCCAUCAUGUAGUGAGUCGAGGUCUGUCCCUAAGGAGAAAGACGAAGCAAAACCCCAACGAUUAGAUUAUAGGGUUGGACCCCAUUUUUUCAAGAAGGAGCAUGAAGGUGCCGAAAAUAGGGCUUUUAUCACGUUUGAGAGUUGUUCCCUCUUAGGGCUGAAAGUGGAAAGUCUUCGAGUAUCGUCGUCCUUCUAUUGAUAGAUUAAGGAUUCGGAUAGAUUCAGAGAAGGCCAACUUAUCUCGAUCUGGUCAUUCACCCGAUAUGGGAAUACCUUUUAGGAAGGCAAGACUAGAAAAAAGUCCGAUUGACCGAAGAUGUGAAGAAAUCGACUGCGUUAGCCCUUCAUAAGGGAAUACCUGACUCAGUCAAUUCUUUAGUUGACAUCGAGACCAAGUCCCAUUGACUCUCUUGGAGGAAGAUCCGCCAAGGGGCGAAGCGGUCCAAUUCAAUGUUUUACUGUUACGCUAAGUAACUCUCCUGUUAGGAAAUCGAUCUAGCUGCUUAUCCUAUAGAUAGAGAGUGUCGGCAAUCACCUCCGCUAUUUCAGCUGUUGUCGGCAUAACAGCUUCGGUAGUAUACCUACCUAAACAGAUAAUUCGUACCAUGAUUAGCAGACCCUUCUCAACUCUAGCGAUUUCAAGCGGACCAGUCUCCAAUUACCUUGCAAAGCGUUAGCGCUAGCCAGGUCAAUAGUUCAAGUAUCAAUGAAAGUCUCUAUUUCAGUAAAGUAGAAAUGACAGCUGUUUAGGUAACAGAAAAUGCCUGCUAGAGGUAUGAUUCCGAUCUUUGCGCAAGCAAUAAUAUAUGCUAUGGCACUUUUUGGCACAGCUCCUCUUUAAUGCCAGUUGGUGUGAGGGAGUUCGCUGGGGAUGUGAACUGUUGAAUCGUGAGUCAAGAUAUCCACGCACAGUAAAGAUCAAUAGGUUGAAAUCAGAUAAAGGCAAAUAUGGCUUUGAGGAAGAAUACGAAUGGGAUUCCACAUUCAUAGGCUAUUAGGCAGGUUUGGAUUCUCCUGGCAAAGGCAGAUAUUUCUAUGCAUUCCUCUGCCAAGUCCAGUUCCUCUCAGUCUCUCGAUUGCAUCGGCCAGGUCCUUCCGAUAAAAGCUCAUCCCUUCCUCCAAGAGCUAUCCGUCUAUUCGAAGGAAUGAAAGCUCAACCGGAACAAACGCUAGAUUCAAGUCCUUUGGUUGCCACCCACCACCAGUGGGAGAGGCAGAACAAUGAAUCAAUUUCCUAGAUCCAAUGGUUUCUCGGGCGAUCCCAUUCCCAUUUCCACCUAUCGAAGCCCAACCAAGUGAGGCACUUCCACCGGAUUCGUUCAAAGCUUUCCAUCG